rnacentral:rRNA from 1 species
GCACAGUGAUCGUAACAGCAGUGAUCGACGCUGCGUAGGCGGCAGAAGCAGAAUCCAAUAGACGUGUGGUAGGAGGCGUGGAGCGGCGGACGGGUCAGCAACGCUCGAGAAUCUACCCAGUAGUGGGGGACAACCCGGGGAAACUCGGGCUAAUACCGCAUACGCCCUACGGGGUAAAGCAGGGGACCUUCGGGCCUUGCGCUGAUGGAUGAGCUCGCGUCGGAUUAGCUUGUUGGUGAGGUAAAGGCUCACCAAGGCGACGAUCCGUAGCUGGUCUGAGAGGAUGAUCAGCCACACCGGGACUGAGACACGGCCCGGACUCCUACGGGAGGCAGCAGUGGGGAAUCUUGGACAAUGGGGGCAACCCUGAUCCAGCCAUGCCGCGUGUGUGAAGAAGGCCUUCGGGUUGUAAAGCACUUUCAGCAGGGAGGAAGGCUUACCCCUAAUACGGGUGAGUACUUGACGUUACCUGCAGAAGAAGCACCGGCUAAUUUCGUGCCAGCAGCCGCGGUAAUACGAAAGGUGCAAGCGUUAAUCGGAAUUACUGGGCGUAAAGCGCGCGUAGGCGGUGUGUUAAGUCGGAUGUGAAAGCCCAGGGCUCAACCUUGGAAUUGCAUCCGAUACUGGCACGCUAGAGUGCAGUAGAGGGAGGUGGAAUUUCCGGUGUAGCGGUGAAAUGCGUAGAGAUCGGAAGGAACACCAGUGGCGAAGGCGGCCUCCUGGACUGACACUGACGCUGAGGUGCGAAAGCGUGGGGAGCAAACAGGAUUAGAUACCCUGGUAGUCCACGCUGUAAACGAUGUCUACUAGCCGUCGGGGUCCUUAGUGACUUUGGUGGCGCAGCUAACGCGAUAAGUAGACCGCCUGGGGAGUACGGCCGCAAGGUUAAAACUCAAAUGAAUUGACGGGGGCCCGCACAAGCGGUGGAGCAUGUGGUUUAAUUCGAUGCAACGCGAAGAACCUUACCAGGUCUUGACAUCCUCGGAAUUUGGCAGAGAUGCCUUAGUGCCUUCGGGAGCCGAGUGACAGGUGCUGCAUGGCCGUCGUCAGCUCGUGUCGUGAGAUGUUGGGUUAAGUCCCGUAACGAGCGCAACCCUUGUCCUUAGUUGCCAGCACGUAAUGGUGGGAACUCUAGGGAAACUGCCGGUGACAAACCGGAGGAAGGGGGGGACGACGUCAGGUCAUCAUGGCCCUUACAACCUGGGCUACCACGUGCUACAAUGGCUGGUACAAAAGGUUGGCAAAUCCCGAGGGGAACUUAUUCCUUAAAGCCAGUCGUAGUCCGGAUCGGAAUCUGCACUCCGACUCCGUGAAGUCGGAAUCGCUAGUAAUCGCGGAUCAGAAUGCCGCGGUGAAUACUUGAUGUACCCGGAUCCUGUAUCAGCAGACCGUCACAGAGGGGGACUGCAGUACACCAGAGUAGCUGCUGUCCUGAGAUGCAUAACAUAACAGGAGCGGAUCUGCGUGCAUUCUAAUCUGUAGUAUGAUUACUCGAGUGU